AUUGAACGCUGGCGGCAGGCCUAACACAUGCAAGUCGAACGAGUGGCGGACGGGUGAGUAAUGUCUGGGAAACUGCCCGCUGGAGGGGGAUAACUACUGGAAACGGUAGCUAAUACCGCAUACCAUCGGAUGUGCCCAGAUGGGAUUAGCUUGUAGGUGAGGUAACGGCUCACCUAGGCGACGAUCCCUAGCUGGUCUGAGAGGAUGACCAGCAAGACUGGAACUGAGACGCAGUCCAGACUCCUACGGUAGGCAGCAGUGGGGAAUAUUGCACAAUGGUCGCGAGACUGAUGCAGUCAUGGCGCGUGUAUGAAGAAGGCCUUCGGGUUGUAAAGUACUUUCAGCGGGGAGGCGUUAACCGCAGAAGAAGCAACGGCUAACUCCGGGCCAGCAGCCGCGGUAAUUC
rnacentral:rRNA from 1 species